AACGUAGGACGCAAGCGUUAUCCGGAGUUACUGGGCGUAAAGCGCGGGCAGGCGGUCUUGCCAGUCUGAUGUGAAAUCUCCCUGCUCAACGGGGAGCAGCCAUUGGAAACUACAAGACUGGAGUCUGACAGAGGUAGGCGGAAUUCCGGGUGGAGUGGUGAAAUGCGUAGAGAUCCGGAGGAACACCAGAGGCGAAGGCGGCCUACUGGGUCAGUACUGACGCUGAGCCGCGAAAGCGUGGGGAGCAAACAGG
rnacentral:rRNA from 1 species